rnacentral:rRNA from 1 species
UACGGGGGGUGCGAGCGUUGUCCGGAAUCACUGGGCGUAAAGGGCGCGUAGGUGGCGUCGUAAGUCUGUGGUGAAAGCCCGGGGCUCAACUCCGGGUCUGCCGCGGAUACUGCGAGGCUUGAGUGCUGUAGGGGGGGGUAGAAUGCCGGGUGUAGCGGUGGAAUGCGUAGAGAUCCGGCGGAAGACCGGUGGCGAAGGCGGCCCCCUGGGCAGUAACUGACACUGAGGCGCGACAGCGUGGGGAGCAAACAGG